UUCAUUCAGUUCAUUUUCAAGCGAAAACAAGCGAGACAAUGUCACAUGGGGCAGUUAGAUGUUAUACUUUGAAUUUUUGCACACUCCGUGUUUGGUUUUUCUUCCACCUCCGGAGUCGGCUCUCUUCAAAAGAGAAGAAGAUGUCCGCAGGAACUGGUCACCUGUCCAGAAUGUCUUGUGAUUAACUGGACAGAAUGCCUUUGCCACGGUCCAAGGAAAGUCAAAGCUUUUCUCAACCCGUGGCAGAAGAUUACAAUCGAUUUCUGGACGGACUGCGAAACCGAAAAUGGCUAACAAGAUGUUCAUGAUGAGGAAACUGACGUGGUGCCGGUGACAGUGUUCCAUCCCACUGUGACCAUGUUCAACGUCACCAGGUUCCAACCAAACAUGUUCAGUUUGACGUGACGAACCCAGACACGUUAUUUGAGAUGGUGUUCAACCCACUCGUGUUCUAUAAAAGGGUAUUCAAUCAAACCAGGUUGAACACAUCCAUAUUACAUUUGAGCAUGUUCAACACAACCGGGUUGUAUCAUGCAGUGUUCGAUCCAACCAUCAUGUCGGUGACCAUGUUCGACCCAACCAUGACAUAUCUGACCGUCUUCAACCCAACCGUGUUGGACCAGACAGUGCUCUAUCAGAGCACCUCAGAUUCCAUCACCUUGUGGAUCCAGGACUUGUCAUUUUCCGUGUUCCCAUGGAUACAGGGUGACUCUUCAGCAGUGUUUCCCUGGGACCCAGCGUACCUGGUCAUCGUGGAGCACGCUCUCUGGGCCGUGGGGCUUUGUGUGGUGCCGUUCCGGCUGGUGGCGACCAUCAGGAGCUGGCCAGGGCGCAUGCGGCCGCAGGGGAGAGGAGGAGCCACGAGGACGCCUUCCACACCUGCUGGAGGAGCCCAGAGAAGGAGAACGGAGCGCUGAGGAAACAGCAGCGCUUCCUCUGCAAUGCUGCCAAGGUUUUGAAGGGCAAACACCGUCGCCUCCGCCAGCAGGUGAAAGAAUACCUGAAGACCCUGAGAGACACCGAGGAGACCAUUGCUGGAAAAGAUGACAAGAUUGACAUUCUUUCUGACGUUUUGGUUCACCUGGAGAUGACCUACGACCUCCAGGGGCAUGAUUCCAGAGCAGUGUCCAAUGACAGAGUUGCGAGGCCCUGGAGGGGAAAUGUCAGCAUCUACAACGCGAACUGGCGUCGCUGAGGAGCAAGAAGUCCCUGAUGGAAGACCAGCUCAAGGCCCUCCAGCAGAAGUACGAGGACAUGGCCCAGACUUACCAGCAGAGGGAGGUCACCCCCCAG